CGCAAGCCUGACGGAGCAACGCCGCGUGAGGGAUGAAGGCCUCUGGGCUGUAAACCUCUUUUCUCAAGGAAGAAGAUCUGACGGUACUUGAGGAAUAAGCCACGGCUAAUUCCGUGCCAGCAGCCGCGGUAAUACGGGAGUGGCAAGCGUUAUCCGGAAUUAUUGGGCGUAAAGCGUCCGCAGGCGGCCUUGAAAGUCUGUUGUUAAAACGUGGAGCUCAACUCCAUUUCGGCAAUGGAAACUACAAGGCUAGAGUGUGGUAGGGGCAGAGGGAAUUCCCGGUGUAGCGGUGAAAUGCGUAGAUAUCGGGAAGAACACCAGUGGCGAAGGCGCU
rnacentral:rRNA from 1 species